GCUGAAGAUAGAGCCCUGUGACAUUUUUAACACGCUUUUUUAUCUCCCAGAUUUCGAUAUGGUGCCUUUGACAACACUCCCAACAUAUACAAGCAUGAAUGUGACAGAGGCAUCAGAUACGGGGCCUUUAACAUCGCUUCCCACACAGGCGGACACCACCAUGAUUCAGGUGGUAACAACAGCAGCCCCCGCUGGCACAGACUCCGCAGUCGUAGCAGG